rnacentral:rRNA from 1 species
UACGUAGGGUGCAAGCGUUGUCCGGAAUUAUUGGGCGUAAAGAGCUCGUAGGCGGUUUGUCGCGUCUGCUGUGAAAACUCGGGGCUCAACCCCGAGCCUGCAGUCGAUACGGGCAGACUAGAGUGCUGUAGGGGAGACUGGAAUUCCUGGUGUAGCGGUGAAAUGCGCAGAUAUCAGGAGGAACACCGGUGGCGAAGGCGGGUCUCUGGGGCCGAUACUGACGCUGAGGAGCGAAAGCGUGGGGAGCGAACAGG